CUUUUACACACUGCACACAGUUCAUGGAAGAAAAGAGCACAGAGCUUAUCGGGAGAAAAAUAACUAUUUACUUAAUGACACGGGAGGAAGUGCAGAGGACGUCAGCCAUGGAGAAUGAAUCUUCCACAGUGGAAUGAAGGGCACGGGGUGUGUGGUCUCUAGAGGAUAGGCUGGGGAUACAGAAUCCCACUGGAAAUGGGGUACGGCACACAACAUGGGUCAACUGAUAUGAGUCCUUCUAGCACAGAUCUGGCAUUGCAGGCAAAAGGGACAGUAAUCACCUUAUCCUGGUCAGAGUUGUGGUGCACCUGGAGCCUAUCCCAGGAACACUGGGCAUGAGGAGACACCCUGAAUGCCAGUUAAUUAAGAGGCUUCCUUCUGGGACGACAGCCAUGCAGACCAAUUUGAUGCAGUGUGCGGCAUAUGGUCUGAGCACUGACAGGCUGACCCCCC
ensembl:lncRNA